UACAUAGGGGGCAAGCGUUAUCCGGAAUUAUUGGGUGUAAAGGGUGCGUAGACGGAGAAACAAGUUGGUUAUGAAAUCCCUCGGCUCAACCGAGGAACUGCAACCAAAACUAUUUCCCUUGAGUGUCGGAGAGGAAAGUGGAAUUCCUAGUGUAGCGGUGAAAUGCGUAGAUAUUAGGAGGAACACCAGUGGCGAAGGCGACUUUCCGGACGAUAACUGACGUUGAGGCACGAAAGUGUGGGGAGCAAACAGG
rnacentral:rRNA from 1 species